GGUCGAACAGACCCAAUCAAUUCAGCUCCUACACCAAAAAUUAACCUUAAUCCAACAUCGAGGUCGCAAACCCCCCCGCCAAUAAGAACUCUCAGGGGAGAUAACGCUGUUAUCCCUAAGGUAAUUUAAUCUUACAAUCAAAAUAAAUGGAUCAAAAUAAAUAUAAAUCAAUAUACCACAUAAAAGAGGAGUUAAAUAAUUUCCUCCCAUCACCCCAACAAAACAAAAGAUACGCAAAAAUUCAAAACAAACAAUGAGAAAUACGCAAUCAAAUGUCAAACUCUAUAGGGUCUUCUCGUCCCAUAAAAACAUCUAAGAAUUUUAACUUAAACUCCAAAUUCAACAAUAAAUCCAUAACCAAGACAGCCCAUGUCUCGUCAAGCCAUUCAUACCAGAUCACAAUUAAAGAACUAAUGACUAUGCUACCUUUGCACGGUCAAAAUACCGCGGCCCUUCAACUCUAAUAUACGUCAGCGGGCAGGCCAUACUUCAGAGACUAACAAGAAAAG
rnacentral:rRNA from 1 species